AAUGUCCCUAGAAGCCACUCAGUGUGGCUGCUGAGUCACAUGGCCAUCAGUAGGUGACAGAGAGCAGAGAGGUUAUGUCUCUACUCAGUUGUAUCUAUGAACAUCUGAAUGAUUAGUAAGCUAACUUU